rnacentral:rRNA from 1 species
GGGUUGUGAGGUUAAGCGACUAAGCGUACACGGUGGAUGCCCUGGCAGUCAGAGGCGAUGAAGGACGUGCUAAUCUGCGAUAAGCGUCGGUAAGGUGAUAUGAACCGUUAUAACCGGCGAUUUCCGAAUGGGGAAACCCAGUGUGAUUCGUCACACUAUCAUUAACUGAAUCCAUAGGUUAAUGAGGCGAACCGGGGGAACUGAAACAUCUAAGUACCCCGAGGAAAAGAAAUCAACCGAGAUUCCCCCAGUAGCGGCGAGCGAACGGGGAGGAGCCCAGAGCCUGAAUCAGUGUGUGUGUUAGUGGAAGCGUCUGGAAAGGCGCGCGAUACAGGGUGACAGCCCCGUACACAAAAAUGCACAUGCUGUGAGCUCGAUGAGUAGGGCGGGACACGUGGUAUCCUGUCUGAAUAUGGGGGACCAUCCUCCAAGGCUAAAUACUCCUGACUGACCGAUAGUGAACCAGUACCGUGAGGGAAAGGCGAAAAGAACCCCGGCGAGGGGAGUGAAAAAGAACCUGAAACCGUGUACGUACAAGCAGUGGGAGCACAGAGCAAUCUGUGUGACUGCGUACCUUUUGUAUAAUGGGUCAGCGACUUAUAUUCUGUAGCAAGGUUAACCGAAUAGGGGAGCCGAAGGGAAACCGAGUCUUAACUGGGCGUUAAGUUGCAGGGUAUAGACCCGAAACCCGGUGAUCUAGCCAUGGGCAGGUUGAAGGUUGGGUAACACUAACUGGAGGACCGAACCGACUAAUGUUGAAAAAUUAGCGGAUGACUUGUGGCUGGGGGUGAAAGGCCAAUCAAACCGGGAGAUAGCUGGUUCUCCCCGAAAGCUAUUUAGGUAGCGCCUCGUGAAUUCAUCUCCGGGGGUAGAGCACUGUUUCGGCAAGGGGGUCAUCCCGACUUACCAACCCGAUGCAAACUGCGAAUACCGGAGAAUGUUAUCACGGGAGACACACGGCGGGUGCUAACGUCCGUCGUGAAGAGGGAAACAACCCAGACCGCCAGCUAAGGUCCCAAAGUCAUGGUUAAGUGGGAAACGAUGUGGGAAGGCCCAGACAGCCAGGAUGUUGGCUUAGAAGCAGCCAUCAUUUAAAGAAAGCGUAAUAGCUCACUGGUCGAGUCGGCCUGCGCGGAAGAUGUAACGGGGCUAAACCAUGCACCGAAGCUGCGGCAGCGACACUGUGUGUUGUUGGGUAGGGGAGCGUUCUGUAAGCCUGUGAAGGUGUGCUGUGAGGCAUGCUGGAGGUAUCAGAAGUGCGAAUGCUGACAUAAGUAACGAUAAAGCGGGUGAAAAGCCCGCUCGCCGGAAGACCAAGGGUUCCUGUCCAACGUUAAUCGGGGCAGGGUGAGUCGACCCCUAAGGCGAGGCCGAAAGGCGUAGUCGAUGGGAAACAGGUUAAUAUUCCUGUACUUGGUGUUACUGCGAAGGGGGACGGAGAAGGCUAUGUUGGCCGGGCGACGGUUGUCCCGGUUUAAGCGUGUAGGCUGGUUUUCCAGGCAAAUCCGGAAAAUCAAGGCUGAGGCGUGAUGACGAGGCACUACGGUGCUGAAGCAACAAAUGCCCUGCUUCCAGGAAAAGCCUCUAAGCAUCAGGUAACAUCAAAUCGUACCCCAAACCGACACAGGUGGUCAGGUAGAGAAUACCAAGGCGCUUGAGAGAACUCGGGUGAAGGAACUAGGCAAAAUGGUGCCGUAACUUCGGGAGAAGGCACGCUGAUAUGUAGGUGAAGUCCCUCGCGGAUGGAGCUGAAAUCAGUCGAAGAUACCAGCUGGCUGCAACUGUUUAUUAAAAACACAGCACUGUGCAAACACGAAAGUGGACGUAUACGGUGUGACGCCUGCCCGGUGCCGGAAGGUUAAUUGAUGGGGUCAGCGCAAGCGAAGCUCUUGAUCGAAGCCCCGGUAAACGGCGGCCGUAACUAUAACGGUCCUAAGGUAGCGAAAUUCCUUGUCGGGUAAGUUCCGACCUGCACGAAUGGCGUAAUGAUGGCCAGGCUGUCUCCACCCGAGACUCAGUGAAAUUGAACUCGCUGUGAAGAUGCAGUGUACCCGCGGCAAGACGGAAAGACCCCGUGAACCUUUACUAUAGCUUGACACUGAACAUUGAGCCUUGAUGUGUAGGAUAGGUGGGAGGCUUUGAAGUGUGGACGCCAGUCUGCAUGGAGCCGACCUUGAAAUACCACCCUUUAAUGUUUGAUGUUCUAACGUGGACCCGUGAUCCGGGUUGCGGACAGUGUCUGGUGGGUAGUUUGACUGGGGCGGUCUCCUCCUAAAGAGUAACGGAGGAGCACGAAGGUUGGCUAAUCCUGGUCGGACAUCAGGAGGUUAGUGCAAUGGCAUAAGCCAGCUUGACUGCGAGCGUGACGGCGCGAGCAGGUGCGAAAGCAGGUCAUAGUGAUCCGGUGGUUCUGAAUGGAAGGGCCAUCGCUCAACGGAUAAAAGGUACUCCGGGGAUAACAGGCUGAUACCGCCCAAGAGUUCAUAUCGACGGCGGUGUUUGGCACCUCGAUGUCGGCUCAUCACAUCCUGGGGCUGAAGUAGGUCCCAAGGGUAUGGCUGUUCGCCAUUUAAAGUGGUACGCGAGCUGGGUUUAGAACGUCGUGAGACAGUUCGGUCCCUAUCUGCCGUGGGCGCUGGAGAACUGAGGGGGCUGCUCCUAGUACGAGAGGACCGGAGUGGACGCAUCACUGGUGUUCGGGUUGUCAUGCCAAUGGCACUGCCCGGUAGCUAAAUGCGGAAGAGAUAAGUGCUGAAAGCAUCUAAGCACGAAACUUGCCCCGAGAUGAGUUCUCCCUGACCCUUUAAGGGUCCUGAAGGAACGUUGAAGACGACGACGUUGAUAGGCCGGGUGUGUAAGCGCAGCGAUGCGUUGAGCUAACCGGUACUAAUGAACCGUGAGGCUUAACCUUACAACGCCGAAGGUGUUU